AUUGAACGCUGGCGGCAUGCCUUACACAUGCAAGUCGAACGGCAGCACGGGAGCAAUCCUGGUGGCGAGUGGCGAACGGGUGAGUAAUAUAUCGGAACGUGCCCGGUCGUGGGGAUAACGUAGCGAAAGCUACGCUAAUACCGCAUACGAUCUACGGAUGAAAGCGGGGGAUCGCAAGACCUCGCGCGAUUGGAGCGGCCGAUAUCAGAUUAGGUAGUUGGUGAGGUAAAGGCUCACCAAGCCGACGAUCCGUAGCUGGUCUGAGAGGACGACCAGCCACACUGGGACUGAGACACGGCCCAGACUCCUACGGGAGGCAGCAGUGGGGAAUUUUGGACAAUGGGCGGCAAGCCUGAUCCAGCAAUGCCGCGUGCAGGAUGAAGGCCU
rnacentral:rRNA from 1 species